rnacentral:rRNA from 1 species
UACGUAGGUGGCAAGCGUUAUCCGGAUUUACUGGGUGUAAAGGGUGAGUAGGCGGGUAAACAAGUCAGAUGUGAAAUGCAAAGGCUUAACCUUUGAACUGCAUUUGAAACUGUAUAUCUUGAGAGUCGGAGAGGUAAUCGGAAUUCCCGGUGUAGCGGUGAAAUGCGUAGAGAUCGGGAGGAACACCAGUGGCGAAGGCGGAUUACUGGACGACAACUGACGCUGAUGCACGAAAGCGUGGGGAG